AUGAACGCUAGCGGCAGGCCUAACACAUGCAAGUCGAGGGGCAGCAUAAACAAGCUUGCUUGUUUGGUGGCGACCGGCGCACGGGUGCGUAACGCGUAUGCAACCUACCCUGUACUGGGGGAUAGCCCGGAGAAAUUCGGAUUAAGACCUCAUAGUAUGUGAGAAUCGCAUGGUUUUCACAUUAAAGUUCCAACGGUAAAAGAUGAGCAUGCGUCCCAUUAGCUAGAUGGUAAGGUAACGGCUUACCAUGGCGACGAUGGGUAGGGGUCCUGAGAGGGAGAUCCCCCACACUGGUACUGAGACACGGACCAGACUCCUACGGGAGGCAGCAGUGAGGAAUAUUGGACAAUGGGCGCAAGCCUGAUCCAGCCAUGCCGCGUGCAGGAUGACGGUCCUAUGGAUUGUAAACUGCUUUUGUACAGGAAGAAACACUCCCUCGUGAGGGAGCUUGACGGUACUGUAAGAAUAAGGAUCGGCUAACUCCGUG
rnacentral:rRNA from 1 species